AUUGAACGCUGGCGGCAUGCCUUACACAUGCAAGUCGAACGGUAACAGGUCUUCGGAUGCUGACGAGUGGCGAACGGGUGAGUAAUACAUCGGAACGUGCCCGAGAGUGGGGGAUAACGAAGCGAAAGCUUUGCUAAUACCGCAUACGAUCUCAGGAUGAAAGCAGGGGAACGCAAGGCCUUGCGCUCACGGAGCGGCCGAUGGCAGAUUAGGUAGUUGGUGGGAUAAAAGCUUACCAAGCCGACGAUCUGUAGCUGGUCUGAGAGGACGACCAGCCACACUGGGACUGAGACACGGCCCAGACUCCUACGGGAGGCAGCAGUGGGGAAUUUUGGACAAUGGGCGCAAGCCUGAUCCAGCCAUGCCGCGUGCAGGAUGAAGGCCUUCGGGUUGUAAACUGCUUUUGUACGGAACGAAAAGACUCUGGUUAAUACCUGGGGUCCAUGACGGUACCGUAAGAAUAAGCACCGGCUAACUACGUGCCAGCAGCCGCGGUAAAAC
rnacentral:rRNA from 1 species